AAUCCAUCAAACAGAGGAAACGGGCCAUCGAUUUAAUGUCUCAUCCUAAAAUUGAGACAAGCAUUAAACAUAAAUAAUAACAUGAUCUGAACUGAAGCCACUGUUGGCAUGAUGCAGCCAAUGUCAAGAACCUUGGUCUGGUAUGGAGGAAGUAACCAUAUUUUGUACUCCUGCUGAUUAAUCUAUUUGGAUAGCAAGGUACAAUUUAACAAAUUACAAGCCCAAGAAAUCACAGGCGGUCAUCUUCCUUGGAAGAGGUUACUUUGGACAUGCCUUCCUUUAAAUGUAUCAAAGAAGAUAGGAGAGACAAAAUCAGAAUUUGCCCUCAGUCAUGAAUGGUGGUGGACAAUCAAACAACUAAAGGAGGAGCAGAAUCCAAGAACAUCCCCACCAACAAUGGUGGGGCCCAGCACGAGAAAUAACUGUUCAGCCUGAAGUGCUGAGCAGGUGAUCCAUCACGGCUUCCUCCUGAGAUCCACGCCAUCACAAAAGCCAGUCUUCAGCCAAAUCCACUCACACCAUGCAAUGUGAAGAAAUGAUUGAGAACAGCUGCAGCUGAGGCUUUGGGACCAGAUAACAUCCUGGCUGUAGAACGUUCCAAUACAGUUACAUCACUGGAGUCUA